UAGGAAAGGGGACUGCAUUGU
rnacentral:piRNA from 1 species